GAAAGUAUAUCAAGGCCAGGCAGUAAGUUCUCAGAUUAUAUUUUAUAUGUUAAAAAUCAGAUGUCAUUCUUUUAUAAAUUAUGUCUUAUUGGCCUGUGGAGGGGUAAAACAUUCUGUUAUUCAAUAGGGUAAACUACAAAGCCUAGGGUUUACUGUCACAUAUGCUUUUAAUCAAAUGUUGAUUGUGGUUUGGUGGUUAAAGUGCUUGAUCACACCAUUGAUCUACAAUUCAUCCCAUAAUAAUCAUUUUAAAUCCUUUCAAAAGGUAUGAGGACAAGCCAAAUGGCUGGACAGAAAGAAAUGAAACACGUGGAUUGCUAGACAGCAACUUCUUUUGAGUUUUCUUUGCUCAAUCAAUUCAACAGUUUACAUAUGUCAUAUUUUUAUGUGAACAACUGUUUAAUUGCAAUCCAAAGAAGCUAGUUCUUGAGUCUGUCUGUGUGUGCGUGAAAGUGAACAAAAGAAAGUUUAUUUAUUUAUUUUUU
rnacentral:misc_RNA from 1 species